CCUACGGGAGGCAGCAGUGGGGAAUAUUGCACAAUGGGGGAAACCCUGAUGCCGCGACGCCGCGUGAGUUAAGAAGUAAUUCGUUAUGUAAAGCUCUAUCAGCAGGGAAGAAAAUGACGGUACCUGAGUAAGAAGCCCCGGCUAACUACGUGCCAGCAGCCGCGGUAAUACGUAGGGGGCAAGCGUUAUCCGGAUUUACUGGUUGUAAAGGGAGCGUAGACGGCAGUGCAAGUCUGGAGUGAAAGGCGGGGGCACAACCCCCGGACUGCAGUGGAAACUGUACGGCUGGAGUGCAGGAGAGGUAAGUGGAAUUGCUAGUGUAGCGGUGAAAUGCGUAGAUAUUAGGAGGAACACCAGUGGCGAAGGCGGCUUACUGGACUGUAACUGACGUUGAGGCUCGAAAGCGUGGGGAGCAAACAGGAUUAGAUACCCGUGUAGUC
rnacentral:rRNA from 1 species